AUACUUGCAAAACUUGGUAACAACAGCAGCUUGGGACAUAUCUUUAAACCCAUAGAUGUGCCUGCUUAUGGUUAUAGUUCAGACUAGAAACUGAUAUGUACCAUAAUGGGUAUAUAAGGUAGCAUUUUCAGUGGAGAUAUUUGCUAAUUGUUCGUGAUACAUUACAAACCAAAAUCUUGCGGACUUUUGCUUUUUCACGAGAAAGAUCAUCAAACUUCUGCGUUGUCUGCGUACUUUGUGUAGGCCUUUUCAGAUGUUUUCUUGUAUGUGCUGGUUAUCUGUGUGUCUAAUAGAUUUUACUCUUACAUGUAGGAUGCAGCUCUUUCGCAGAUUUUCGACCGACAAUUGACAUGUUGCUCUUAUGUUGCUUGCAGGAUGGUGAUUAUGCAUGUAUUUUGAAGAAACCUAAAUUAGCUCAUGCUGAUCUCUAAAACUAGUAUUUUGGGGCCUUCUUUGAAAUGCUUUAGAUUUUCUAGGACUUGAAUUCUGACAUUAGUUAUUGAUGAAUGUAGUUGCAACGUUGCUAUUGCAUAGGGGUAUAACUUGGUUCUAUAUAUUAGGUUUUGGAUUUACAAUAGUAUAUAUAAUGGUACUGACUAAGGAUACUGGCUUCUCCCCUUCUCACUGAGUUUUCCUCUCUUAAUCUACACUUUGGUCCAUUUAUUAUGGCAUGAUAUCUGGUUAAUUACAGUGCACUUCAAUUCCUGUUUUUUUAGAUGUGAUUUUAAAAUUAAUUUUCCAGUUUUUCUUUGUUUAGCCAUCUAGUAUUCCAAUAUCAAGUGGCCGGGCUCAAACUCAAGCUUUUGUGAAAAUAGGACGGACUAGUCAAUUUUCAGACUGGUAAUUAAAAAAUAGUCAGUAUUUGUAAAGUUAUUGAAAAAUAGCUAUUAUUUUGCUGCAACACGAAAAGUUUUAGCAUAAUAUACUGGAGAUUGGUAUACCUGUAUAUGAACUUUCAGCAUAUUACGGUGGAACUCCAACACAGAAAGUUUAAUAUGCUGGAACUCCAACACAUAGAAAAUUCCAGCAUAAUAUACUGGAGAUUGGAGCACUUGUGUAUGAACUUUCAGUAUAUUAUAAUAGAAAUUCAGUAUAUUAUGAUGGAAUAUUUUCCACAUUUGGAACAGUAUAUUCGUUCAAAUUUAUCCUUAUAUGAAAAGUGAUUAAAUUUCAAUUAUUUUUUAAGCU
rnacentral:lncRNA from 1 species